UAUUAGCCCUGAUUGAAGCGGCAUCCUGCCGAGGUAUGAGGCAGAUAUAGCGGAAAGCAGGAAAUUGC
rnacentral:sRNA from 1 species